AAAGCAUUAAGUAUUCCACCUGGGGAGUACGCCGGCAACGGUGAAACUCAAAGGAAUUGACGGGGGCCCGCACAAGCGGAGGAACAUGUGGUUUAAUUCGAUGAUACGCGAGGAACCUUACCCGGGCUUGAAUUGCAGAGGAACAUAGUUGAAAGAUUAUGGCCGCAAGGUCUCUGUGAAGGUGCUGCAUGGUUGUCGUCAGCUCGUGCCGUGAGGUGUCGGCUUAAGUGCCAUAACGAGCGCAACCCUUAUCAUUAGUUACUAACAGGUGAUGCUGAGGACUCUAGUGAGACUGCCGUCGUAAGAUGUGAGGAAGGUGGGGAUGACGUCAAAUCAGCACGGCCCUUACGUCCGGGGCUACGCACGUGUUACAAUGGGGGGUACAGAGGGCAGCUACCGGGCGACCGGAUGCCAAUCCCAAAAACCUCUCUCAGUUCGGAUCGAAGUCUGCAACCCGACUUCGUGAAGCUGGAUUCGCUAGUAAUCGCGCAUCAGCCACGGCGCGGUGAAUACGUUCCCGGGCCUUGUACACACCGCCCGUCAAGCCAUGGGAGCCGGGGGUACCUGAAGUACGUAACCGCAAGGAGCGUCCUAGGGUAAAACUGGUGACUGGGGCUAAGUCGUAACAAGGUAACC
rnacentral:rRNA from 1 species